AAAAGAGGCGACGAAUGUUGCGUAUACGAUACCAACUGUCCUUAGAGCAAGUUACAAAGGAUUUGGUGGUUGGUGUCCGAGGUCCCAAGUUCGAAUCUUAGUUGAUUCACAUUUCUAGUUAAGUUUGUUUCUAAAUAAAAUAAAUGAAGCGGAUAGCGUGCUACUUAUUUCUCAAACAAAAAAAGAAAAGAAGAAGUUGUGUUUACGAUUAAUUAGAUGGUCAUAAACAUGGAGGACUUAUUAAGAAGACUCAAAAUUGUGUUUUUAUG
rnacentral:lncRNA from 1 species